rnacentral:miRNA from 1 species
GAGGUCAGGAACGCGGGCACAGGCG